GCUCCCAUCGACUAAGGGUUAGGUCACCACCCUUUCAAGGUGGUAAUACGGGUUCGAAUCCCGUUGGGAGCGCCA
rnacentral:tRNA from 1 species